rnacentral:rRNA from 1 species
GACGAACGCUGGCGGCGUGCCUAAUACAUGCAAGUAGAACGCUGAAGGAGGAGCUUGCUUCUCUGGAUGAGUUGCGAACGGGUGAGUAACGCGUAGGUAACCUGCCUGGUAGCGGGGGAUAACUAUUGAAAACGAUAGCUAAUACCGCAUAAGAGUAGAUGUCGCAUGACAUUUGCUUAAAAGGUGCAAUUGCAUCACUACCAGAUGGACCUGCGUUGUAUUAGCUAGUUGGUGAGGUAACGGCUCACCAAGGCAACGAUACAUAGCCGACCUGAGAGGGUGAUCGGCCACACUGGGACUGAGACACGGCCCAGACUCCUACGGGAGGCAGCAGUAGGGAAUCUUCGGCAAUGGACGGAAGUCUGACCGAGCAACGCCGCGUGAGUGAAGAAGGUUUUCGGAUCGUAAAGCUCUGUUGUAAGAGAAGAACGAGUGUGAGAGUGGAAAGUUCACACUGUGACGGUAUCUUACCAGAAAGGGACGGCUAACUACGUG